rnacentral:rRNA from 1 species
GACGUAGGUGGCAAGCGUUGUCCGGAGUUAUUGGGCGUAAAGCGCACGUAGGCGGCUUUGUAAGUUAGAGGUGAAAGCCCAGGGCUUAACCCUGGAAUUGCCUUUAAGACUGCAUCGCUAGAAUCGUGGAGAGGUGAGUGGAAUUCCGAGUGUAGAGGUGAAAUUCGUAGAUAUUCGGAAGAACACCAGUGGCGAAGGCGACUCACUGGACACGUAUUGACGCUGAGGUGCGAAAGCGUGGGGAGCAAACAGG